AGACAGACAGACAGACAGAUAGAUAGAUAGAUAGAUAGAUAAAAUGCCAGAAACACGCUCUACCUUAAACUCUAGUUCAUUAUGAUCAACAGCUGGUGCUCAUUUAUUAAUGUCAAUAAUCAAGAUAUCUGACAGCACUGUGUAAUGUUUUAACAAUCUGUUCAUUCAUAUUACCAGAGGAUUACAGUAAAUAGUGCUUCAAGAAUCACACUACAUGUAACAUCUUCUGUGAGGAUGGUUAUAUUUAACAUAUCAUUCUCCAACCCAGAUUUACCUUUAUGAAUGGAGGGAGCCUAUCCUAUCAGCAGCACUGAGUGCAAUGCAGCAAACAGCCCAGGACAGACUACACAGUCUACUCACAAUGGACCAACUUGAAAUUGACACUUAAACACAUUCACACAGUUUUUCAUCUAUGUGCAUAUCAAGAGGACACUGUAUGUAUGAGACAAUAGCACCAACCAUCAUAUUUCAUUUGGGUAUGAAGAAGAUGCCAUUCUAUUUGCUAAUUACAUAUAAUACUUUGAUCUGGCAGUGAAUAAAAAAAAAUACUUCUAAUUACACCAUACAUUCUGAAUUAUGUCAUGUAUGCAUGUCUGAGGAUCACCUUGCCAACUCUGAUCAGGUAUGUAAUACUAUCCCAGGGUAAGAGGAAGCACUGUCCCCAACUGUCUUGACUCUUCUCUUCGCAGCUCAGAGAAAACAGCCCAGGAAUCAGAGUGACCAUGCCCCCAUCAAGCCCACACGUCAUGGGCCUUUGUCCAAAAUAUAUAAAACAGCCCAUCCCCAGAAGGUAGCUUUUCACUAAGUGUCCUGAACUCAGAGCAGAAUGAAGCUUUCAGCUAGACACAAAGAUUUUUGAAGAACUGUAGCCUUUGGUAAUCAUAAUUGGCAAAAGACAGCAUGUCUUGAUUAUGAAAAGAAAAUAAAGGCACUACAGGAAAAACACAUGAGCACAGGGAAUCCAUGAAAACUUCAGACAGAAGAAAAAUCGGAACAUUAGGCUGUAUGGCUUCACACUCCCUGCUGCUUGCGGGUGCCUCUUGAUCCCACAACCAUCAGUAAUGUAACCAGGACAAGCCAGGCAAAUGAGGACACACAAUGCAAGGGAACGCUGAGCUUAAGGGCUGUUUAUAUUGAUUUGCAUAUUCAAAGAGGCAUAAUUCUUGGAGGAACUGGGGCUGGACAGCAGCUAAGGCAAAACUCUUGGCAGUGGACAACUUGAAAUGCAGAGCUGUCCAGAGGUGUAGAGAGAGGCCACAAAAGCAGAAGACUUGAUGCAGUCUGUUGCAGAGCCAUCCAGGAGAGGGCAUGGCAACCUUGAGGUUGCAGUGUCAGAGGUGACAACUCCAGGUCCACGGUAACCAGCCCAGGUGACUGACUGAUUGGGAUGGUCCAGGAUCCUGUUGAGGACCAGGAAAGAGAAGGUUUCAAAUUCUGCAGAGAUGAACUGAGGUCCAUUAUCUGAAAUCAGUUCCUAUGGGUAUCCUCCUCUGCUGAAAACUGAUGUAAGGAAUGCAAUCACAGUAGCAGAUGUUACUUGAGAGGGACGAAGCACCACCCCUCCCCCCCAUUUAGAAGCAAGGACCAUCUGCAAGUUGUCCAUCCUCCCAGACCUUAGUUUGGUCGGCAUAAAACUGAGCAGAUCAGAAUUUCAAGGGGACCCGCCUCCCGGAGCCUACUUCCAUUGUCAUUAAACUGAGUGGCUAACUUCUCAGACCUAACUUUAAUCAUCAUUGAUCCAAGAAGAGCAAAACUUCAAGGGGGAAACCUUACUUCAAUCGUCAUUAAACCUAGUUGCAAAAAACUUCAAGUUGGAAGACAGAAGAGCUUAAUGCUUGUCCACCCAGUUUAUUUCAUCCACUUUGUAAUUUUUAGCUUUCUGUGACAACAAUGAUUUCAUCAAGUUUGGAAAAUGGAUUUGGGAGGUCAAUCCAUAUUAUUUUGCCACUAAUUAGGAGCUAUUUUUUUCACAAGACCUUUCACAUUUUUUUGAUGUACCAACAUCAGGAAAUUUAUUGUUCUUCCUUAUAAAUGUAGCGAACUACAGAAUGUAUCUAUGGCCCAUAAAUGCAAAAGAAUGUUCUUUAACCAGAUAUAGAAGUGAAAGUUUCUCUGCUAAAGUCAUCACCUUCCAUUCCAUUUCAGCUCAAAGUUCACUUGUUGAACUGGUAACACGCCUAAAUCUCAUACCUAAAAAAAGAACAAAUACAAAAAAAAUACAAAAUAUUGCUCUUAACAUUUAAAGCUCUCCACAACCUCACU